rnacentral:rRNA from 1 species
AGGAUGAACGCUGGCGGCGUGCCUAACACAUGCAAGUCGAACGUCCUGUCUCGCAAGAGGCAGGGAGUGGCGGACGGGUGAGUACCACGUGGGUCAUCUACCGUGAGGUGAGGAAUACCGGCGAGAAAUCGCCGACAAGACCGCAUAGGCUCGAUGCAAGUCGAGCAAAGCUCUUUCGAGAGAGGGAGCGCCACACGAGGAGCCUGCGCCCGAUUAGCUAGCUGGUGGAGUAACGGUUCACCAGGGCGACGAUCGGUAGCUGGUCUGAGAGGACGAUCAGCCACACUGGGAUUGAGAACGGCCCAGACUCCUACGGGGGGCAGCAGUGAGGAAUUUUCGUCAAUGGGGGCAACCCUGAACGAGCAACGCCGCGUGCAGGAAGAAGGUUUCGGAUCGUAAACUGCUUUUCUCGGGGUAAGAGAACGGACGGUACCCGAGGAAUCAGCCCCGGCUAACUACGUGCCAGCAGCCGCGGU